CUCUAGCCCAGAUGGGAACGGCAUCCUUUUUCUUGCUCCUUUAGCGAGGAAAAGAUAUAGUGUACAGCUGGAAAUAGC
rnacentral:sRNA from 1 species